GACGAACGCUGGCGGCGUGCUUAACACAUGCAAGUCGAGCGGAAAGGCCACUUCGGUGGUACUCGAGCGGCGAACGGGUGAGUAACACGUGAGUAAUCUGCCCCUCACUUUGGGAUAGCCACCGGAAACGGUGAUUAAUACCGGAUAUGACCAUAUGUCGCAUGGCGUGUGGUGGAAAGUUUUUCGGUGAGGGAUGUGCUCGCGGCCUAUCAGCUUGAUGGUGAGGUAAUGGCUCACCAUGGCUUCGACGGGUAGCCGGCCUGGGAGGGUGACCGGUCACACUGGGACUGAGACACGGCCCAGACUCCUACGGGAGGCAGCAGUGGGGAAUAUUGGACAAUGGGCGGAAGCCUGAUCCAGCAACGCCGCGUGAGGGAUGACGGCCUUCGGGUUGUAAACCUCUUUCAGUACCGACGAAGCGCAAGUGACGGUAGGUACAGAAGAAGCACCGGCCAACUACGUG
rnacentral:rRNA from 1 species